rnacentral:rRNA from 1 species
UACGAAGGGGGCUAGCGUUGCUCGGAAUCACUGGGCGUAAAGCGCACGUAGGCGGCUUUCUAAAGUCAGGGGUGAAAUCCUGGAGCUCAACUCCAGAACUGCCUUUGAUACUGGAGAGCUCGAGUCCGGAAGAGGUGAGUGGAACUCCGAGUGUAGAGGUGAAAUUCGUAGAUAUUCGGAAGAACACCAGUGGCGAAGGCGGCUCACUGGUCCGGUACUGACGCUGAGGUGCGAAAGCGUGGGGAGCAAACAGG